CAAACUAAUUAUCAUCGAUACACAGUAGUAAUAAUGUAAAAAUAAGCUUUAAAAAACUACAACACCACUUUACACGUUUAAAAUAAAUACUGUUUUUAAAAUCGAUUAAGUUAGUGAUAUAAAGGUAAAACUGUACAGCAUUCUUACUUAAUCCAAUCCCAAACUACCUUAUGAAUAAUUGUAAUGACCUUUAAAAUUUAACCAAAACCUCUUUAAUACAAGCAAUAAGCAAAAAUCCUAUGAAAAUAGCAUGUCAACUAUCUUGAAUCUAGAGAUCACCAGCCUUCAGCAGAAUCAGACGAAAGAACAAAGGAAAUCACCUUUUAUCACAUUCUCAACAUAAGAAAAGCUAAUAGAGUACACAUAAAAUUAAGUUAUUACAAACGUGAAUGAAAUGAAGAAGCAGGGAAACAAGAAUUCAGUAGCACAAAUUGUUUUCAUCAUGUAUCUUCAUUCACAUUGCAUAUUACACCUCAUAUGUUAGUCAUGGUUCGAAAAAUACCUAGAAUGUAAGAGAAAGAAAACAAAGAGAAUGAAGAAUUAGCAGCAGCAGAAUCAACUCAAAACUCAACAAAACCAGCUUCUUUCACCAAUCUAAAACGCAGAUGAGAACAAAUCUUUGGAGCCCUUUUUCAGAAAUUCUGACUAACAAAGGAACUUUAAGAAUCAAACCAAACAAAUUUCGAAUGAUUUUCAAUAUUUUCAGGAUCUCAAGAUGCUCAGCCAUUUCUAAUUUUUUCAGUUUUUUAAUCUUUAAAAUCUGACUUAAAAGUGAAGAAACAGACCUCUUUAUAGAAGCUUUUUAGGGCAGCAGAAUUGUUUUCAACUUUAUACCAAUUACCCUACUUCAAUUUUUAUUCUUGCAAGUUAGUCCCCAAUUUUAAAUUAUAUUUGUCAAACUACACCCAAACCCCACCUUCCAGGAAGUUUCCCAAAUCAGUUACAAGAGAUUCUCUCAAUCAAAAUUCCUAACUAACCCUUUAAACUUCUAUUAUUUACUCUCAGCAGACCACGUGGGUCAAGACUGACCCAAGACCCAAACAAAAAUGAAUGGGCUUCCCUCAAAACUAGGUCAGGAAUGACUCCAAAGCCCAAUCAAAUGUCCAACCCAAAUCAGAAAUCAUUUUCAGUGAUUUAUGAAAAGUAGAAGAAGAACAACUUAAAUGAUUUCAAAACCAAAAGCCUAUCUAAAUGACUGAUUUUUUAAACUAACAUAAAUAAGCUAGAAUUAAACUAGAUGACCAAAUCAAAACAAACUUAAUUAAAAUAAUUAUAAGACUAGAACAUGAAGGACUCUCAGAUUAAUAUAAUUAAGCUAAUGGACUAAACAAAAAUCAGAAACCAACCGACAUGAAUAACAAAUAAGCAAGGCAAAUGAAUAAUCCAAACAAAAAUCAACAAACAACCUUUAAAAUUGGACAAGAACUGGAAAACACACGGAACAAAUACGACCACAAACCAACCAAGGGAAAGAUCUAGUUUCAUAAUUUGAACCUUUACUAGAUUUCAAAUCAGAAGAAAACUACUUAAAAAAGAGGAGAAGAAAAGAAAAGGAAUAGAAAGUGAAACAAAAAUAGACAGAAAAUAAAAUGAAAGAAAAAACAAUUACCUAAUUAACUUGAACAUCACUGGACGCCUCGAUUUAAAUAAAACCAAUGUUAAUCGUUUGUUCUUUGACAACUCAGAGGUCUGGGCCUUGCAUGCUACAGAUUCGAGGGUAAGGCGAUUUUGGGGUUUAGGGCUUAGACCUUAGAUCUGAAAUUUUAACAGAUGGAGAAGGAUUCGAGGGAAAUGGUUUUGGGUUAUGGAAAGAGGAGAAGCCAGGGGUUGUGGGGUGUGAUUUUGAGGCGGUUUGGGGUUGCGCCGCCACCGGAGGGGGUGAGGACUUUAGGGCGACGGAUUUAGGGUUCAUGGGGUCUCUGAAGGUUAGAGAGUACGAG
rnacentral:lncRNA from 1 species